CUGGCAGCUGAGCCCUCUUCGUCAGGAGUUCUCAAUGGCCCCCAAGGUGCCUUUGUUUCCUCAAGGGGUUUUCAUAGCAUCCUCAGCUGUGGAAGGCAAUGUAUCGCAUCCUGUAUUACCUUCCCCUGACCUCAUAGCUUCCCAAAACAGGAACAAUCAUGGGCUUUGAAGUUACAGGAAUGCAGAUGUGAUUCCUAUGGAUGAGGGUAACCUAGAGGCUAGAAGAACAAUAGGACAGAAGAAGCCUGGG
rnacentral:lncRNA from 1 species